rnacentral:rRNA from 1 species
GACGAACGCUGGCGGCAUGCCUAAUACAUGCAAGUCGAGCGGACAGAAGGGAGCUUGCUCCCGGGAGUCAGCGGCGGACGGGUGAGUAACACGUGGGCAACCUGCCCCUUAGAUUGGGAUAACUUCGGGAAACCGAAGCUAAUACCGAAUAAUACAAGGAACCUCCUGGUUCUCUGUUGAAAGAUGGCCUUUGUGCUGUCACUAAGGGAUGGGCCCGCGGCGCAUUAGCUAGUUGGUAAGGUAACGGCUUACCAAGGCGACGAUGCGUAGCCGGCCGGAGAGGGUGAUCGGCCCAACUGGGACUGAGACACGGCCCAGACUCCUACGGGAGGGAGCAGUAGGGAAUCUUCCGCAAUGGACGAAAGUCUGACGGAGCAAUGCCGCGUGAGUGAGGAAGGCCUUCGGGUCGUAAAGCUCUGUUGUGAGGGAAGAACAAGUACCGGCGUAACUACCGGUACCGUGACGGUACCUCACCAGAAAGCCACGGCUAACUACGUGCCAGCAGCCGCAGUAAGAC